rnacentral:rRNA from 1 species
CCUACGGGGGACAGCAGUGGGGAAUAUUGGGCAAUGGGCGCAAGCCUGACCCAGCAACGCCGCGUGAAGGAAGAAGGCUUUCGGGUUGUAAACUUCUUUUCUCAGGGACGAAGAAAGUGACGGUACCUGAGGAAUAAGCCACGGCUAACUACGGGCCAGCAGCCGCGGUAAUACGUAGGUGGCAAGCGUUAUCCGGAUUUAUUGGGUGUAAAGGGCGUGUAGGCGGGAGCGCAAGUCAGAUGUGAAAACUCAGGGCUCAACCCUGAGCCUGCAUUUGAAACUGUGUUUCUUGAGUGCUGGAGAGGCAAUCGGAAUUCCGUGUGUCGCGGUGAAAUGCGUAGAUAUCUGGAGGAACAUCAGUGGCGAAGGCGGCCACCUGGACCGGUAUUGACGCUGAGGCGCGAAAGCGUGGGGAGCAAACAGGAUUAGAUACCCUGGUAGUC